rnacentral:rRNA from 1 species
ACUGCUAUCCGGAUGCGACUAAGCCAUGCUAGUCUAACGGAUCUUCGGAUCCGUGGCGUACCGCUCUGUAACACGUAGAUAACCUACCCUGAGGUCGGGGAAACUCCCGGGAAACUGGGCAUAAUCCCCGAUAGAUAAUUUGUACUGGAAUGUCUCUUUAUUGAAACCUCCGAGGCCUCAGGAUGGGUCUGCGCCAGAUUAUGGUCGUAGGUGGGGUAACGGCCCACCUAGCCUUUGAUCUGUACCGGACAUGAGAGUGUGUGCCGGGAGAUGGCCACUGAGACAAGGGGCCAGGCCCUACGGGGCGCAGCAGGCGCGAAAACUUCACAAUGCCCGAAAGGGUGAUGAGGGUAUCCGGAGUGCUUCCUUAGCCGGAAGCUUUUGUUCAGUGUAAAUAGCUAGACGAAUAAGGGGAGGGCAAGGCUGGUGCCAGCCGCCGCGGUAAAACCAGCUCCCCGAGUGGUCGGGAAUUUUAUUGGGCCUAAAGCGUCCGUAGCCAGGCGUGCAAGUCAUUGGUUAAAUGUCGGGUCUUAAGCCCGAACCUGCUAGUGAUACUACACGCCUUGGGACCGGAAGAGGCAAAUGGUACGUUGAGGGUAGGGGUGAAAUCCUGUAAUCCCGGGAGGACCACCAGUGGCGAAGGCUGUCGGCUAGAACGCGCUCGACGGUGAGGGACGAAAGCUGGGGGAGCGAACCGGAUUAGAUGCCCGGGUAGUCCCAGCCGUAAACGAUGCGGGCUAGGUGUUGGGGUGGCUACGAGCCACUUCAGUGCCGCAGGGANCCAUUAAGCCCGCCGCCUGGGGAANUACGGCCGC